GUUUUUCAUUUGUUUCUGUAGAAAAAUUCUCUGCUCGAGCCUUGAAGCCUUCACGAGCGGUGAUGUAUGUUUCUGGAUUUCUCUGCGUUGAUCAUCUCUAUUGUAGUUACGUCUUAACUUUGUUCCUCUUGGUGGGUUGGGUUUCUUACCUUAAGCUUCAUCAGACUGCGCUUGUAAUCACAUAGUUGAUCUAGGAGGAAGCCGGAGAAGAAGAGGAUGAAGAAAACAAACAGUUUAUACAGGUAAUAUAGGGAUGUACUUCCUGAAAGAAGAAAUACUUUCAACUUCUUUUCACCUCUCCCUCUCUCUCUCUCUUGAAUAUUGAGGUACAAAUACAAUGCGAUGGUUGAGGGCACUCUCUCCCAAUGGGUAUUAUGUUUGCUACUAGAGUGUGGUAACAAGGAAGAGAUGUUUUUGGUUGCUGCUUUGUCACAUUUGAAAGCUGGUGGAUAUCAAGCAGCACCCCAUUGAAAAAUCAAUCGAACCUCACAACAAUUGUAGACAAACUGAAUUUUCUCUAAAUCAUGAAAGCCUUUUAAGAGAAUUCAGACGCUGGGAAACGCGUUCUACGGUUACAAGUAUCUAUCGAUGUCAGUCGCUGGUUCCCUCACCCAGAGAGGGCGGGAGAGGAGAAAGGGAGAGAAGUUACAGCCAUACGCCGAUUCGAUCUUGAUUCCGGGUUAGAGGCGGCGUCGGCGUUCUGAGUCUAUCUUCGGUCUCGUUGUUAAGAAUUUUGAUGACGAAGAGAUAGAAAUGCAGCGGGGACCGAAUCCCAAACCCUAGCCCAAGAUUUUUUCCUAUAAAUGAUUUCCCUAGUCUCAAUCCAAUUGUGUUGAUAGCCUAAUUUCAUCCACUCGUCUCGGACUCUCUUCCUCUUCACCUUGUCUCUGAAACCCUAGUCCGAGGGGAACGAAGGGAGGGGGGAAAUGCGGAUGGGGGCAAGCCAGGUCGGGUCCUGUUGAUGAUGAAGAAAUGGAAAUGCUGCGGUCAUUCUUGCGUUGGUUUGCCUUGUCCGGGAAGGAGUACCUUGGGUUCUACCUCCGUUGACAAUUCUCCUAAAUUGAACUGCCUUGAGUCUUUUGUUUUACCAUUUAGGCUAUCUUUUAACCGUUGCUUGUUGUUAGUUGCAGUCCACACUGACAGGGGAAUCCCUUUGCGUUACAGAAGACCCUGAAAAUGAAGUGCGCCCGGGCUCAACCACCAAACAAGGGGAGAUUGAAGCAUUAGUCAUUGCAACUGGUGUACAUGCAUGAAUAUACUAGUCAAGUGAAAUUUUCAAAAGGUCCUCUGGGUUGUUUGCUCAUCAAUCAGUUAUGGUGUCUGAACAUCUUGCAGAGCAGAAAAACAAUUGGUGUGGACUUAAGGAGGGGAUUCCAUACUAAGGUUUAAUGAGAAUUUUUGUCAUAAUGUUUGAAAAUCUUUGAGAUGCAAAAACCUGGAUUGCAAUAGCUGUGAGGUAUGUGGGUUUUUAAGUAAUCACCUCAGCGUUUCAUCCACAUGAGUAGUGAGAAGUUGGAAUCUUGCACUUAGUAAGUAUAUUGGCGGACAGGUUUGGUACCUCACCAUUACAGAUGGAGCUAACUUUGAUUGGGUUUCUGCUCUGUCUCUGGGUUGAUUUCUUCAUAGCUGGGCACUGACAACUCGGGGAAGAAAAUUUUAUGGUUGUGGUGUAUAUUAUGGCUGUCAUUUUUAUCGCUGAUGUUAUUGUGUAGGUUAAUUUUCAGGACAUUGACAACACGAGUGCAGAAAAUUGUAUGGAACUGGUAUUUAACACGUUUCUUUGAUGUCCUUCGUUUAUAAGAGAACUCUGUUGAGCACAGGUGUAAAGAGGGAGUUUCAUCUCA